AUUGAACGCUGGCGGCAGGCCUAACACAUGCAAGUCGAACGAGUGGCGGACGGGUGAGUAAUGUAUGGGAAACUGCCCGAUGGAGGGGGAUAACUACUGGAAACGGUGGCUAAUACCGCAUACUAUCGGAUGUACCCAUAUGGGAUUAGCUAGUAGGUGGGGUAAAGGCUCACCUAGGCGACGAUCUCUAGCUGGUCUGAGAGGAUGAUCAGCCACACUGGGACUGAGACACGGCCCAGACUCCUACGGGAGGCAGCAGUGGGGAAUAUUGCACAAUGGGCGCAAGCCUGAUGCAGCCAUGCCGCGUGUAUGAAGAAGGCCUUCGGGUUGUAAAGUACUUUCAGCGGGGAGGCGUUACCCGCAGAAGAAGCACCGGCUAACUCCGUGCCAGCCGCCGCGGUAAUAC
rnacentral:rRNA from 1 species